rnacentral:rRNA from 1 species
GGGAAUAUUGCACAAUGGGGGAAACCCUGACGCAGCAACGCCGCGUGCGGGACGAAGGCCCUCGGGUUGUAAACCGCUUUCAGCAGGGAAGACAAAGGACGGUACCUGCAGAAGAAGCUCCGGCUACCUACGUGCCAGCAGCCGCGGUAAUACGUAGGGGGCGAGCGUUAUCCGGAUUCAUUGGGCGUAAAGCGCGCGUAGGCGGCCGCCUAAGCGGGACCUCUAACCCCGGGGCUCAACCCCGGGCCGGGUCCCGGACUGGGCGGCUCGAGUGCGGUAGAGGAGAGCGGAAUUCCCGGUGUAGCGGUGGAAUGCGCAGAUAUCGGGAAGAACACCGAUGGCGAAGGCAGCUCUCUGGGCCGUCACUGACGCUGAGGCGCGAAAGCUGGGGGAGCGAACAGG